AGAGAGGGAGAGGCGAGCUUUCGGAGAGGAGCAGCAGGCAGGAGGAGGAUCUGGCAUAGCGGCUGGGAGAGGAAACUUGACGCUUCGGGGCCAGCAUUUGCCAGGGCCUUACUCGAGACGCCGAAAGGAGCCUGUUUGCGUACUGCGGCUGCCCUGUGAUUCUGGAUCUUGUCUCCUGGCCGGCGCCUCGAUUCCUACCCAGCUGGAUUGGGGGGCAACACUGCCUGGCGCAGCCAAGAGAGCGAAUGAGACCACAAAGAAGCAUAAAAUGAAUAGAUAAUCCAACCAACCAAAGGUGUCAUGCAAAAAUAGGCUCAGAGAAGGUAAUCCAUAUUGCCAUGUCAGGAAGCAAGGACCAGGAGUGGAAGUGAGGGCUCCAAAACUUAUGGCUGGGUGGCCAUAUGAGAUUCUCAAAGGCGUCAGUGCCUCCNAAAGAAAAAAACAAGAAAACCAACAUUGAGAACUCCCAGUAUAAAGUGACCAGAGAGGAGAGCCUAGGACCAAAUGCUGAAAAACACACAUUUGAAAAAAUAAACUUAUUAAUUU
rnacentral:lncRNA from 1 species